GGUGUAUUCAGCGUGUAAAUUCACUUUCUCAAAGAUUCCGACACCGUAUACCCUAUCAAAACGGGUCAAUGGACGGUGGAAAGGCCGUGGCGUUGGUCCGGAGCCCUCAGGGAGGCCCCUAUCAAAACGGGUCAGUGGACGGUGGAAAGGCCGUGGCGUUGGUCCGGAGCCCUCAGGGAGGCCCCU